rnacentral:rRNA from 1 species
UAUUUUUUUUUAGAGUUCAAAUUAAAAGAAAAGAUUGCGACCUCGAUGUUGGAUUAAAAUUUAUAUUUGGUGUAGCAGCUAAAAUAUUGGGUCUGUUCGACCUUUAAAAUUUUACAUGAUCUGAGUUUAAACCGGUGUGAGCCAGGUUGGUUUCUAUCUCGAAAAAUUUAAUAUAUUUUAGUACGAAAGGACCAAAUAUAUAAUUAAAAGUUU